CCUACGGGAGGCAGCAGUAGGGAAUUUUCGGCAAUGGACGAAAGUCUGACCGAGCAAUGCCGCGUGAAUGAAGAAGGUCUUCGGAUUGUAAAAUUCUUUUAUUGGGAAAGAAAGAUAUGGUUAGGAAAUGAGCUAUAUUUGACGGUACCCAUUGAAUAAGCCCCGGCUAACUACGUGCCAGCAGCCGCGGUAAUACGUAGGGGGCGAGCGUUAUCCGGAAUUAUUGGGCGUAAAGCGUGCGUAGGCGGAAUGUUAAGUCAUUUGUAAAAGAUCUCAGCCCAACUGAGUAAGGCGAAUGAAACUGGCAAUCUUGAAUACGGUAGAGGUAAGUGGAAUUCCAUGUGUAGCGGUGGAAUGCGUAGAUAUAUGGAGGAACACCAAUGGCGAAGGCAGCUUACUGGGCCGGAAUUGACGCUGAGGCACGAAAGCGUGGGGAGCAAACA
rnacentral:rRNA from 1 species